AUACUAAAAGCGAAUUAUACUUUUGAUGGUAAGCCAGUAUAGAAAAAUCAUCUAAAUAAUGAUAAAAAAACUUCAACAUUAAAUAUAUUCAAAUCUAAACACUUCAUCUUCAUUACACUGUAUUAGGUAUACUACAAAAUAAUUAAAUAAAUGUACUUGCAGAUAUAACAUAUAUAUCAUGGAUGUAGUCAAAUCAGCUGUAAUAUAACUCUUCCCUAAGUGUAUGUAC